rnacentral:tRNA from 1 species
GCCUACUUGGUGAAAUUGGUAAACACGACAGAUUUAAAAUCUGUUCUCAUUCAAGAGUUAUUGGUUCAAGUCCAAUAGUAGGUA